CUCUGCGGCGCAGAGGGCCAGUGGAAGGAAGGCUGCGGCGCUUUAAGCGCGCUGAUGUCGGGAGUUUGAGGUUGUUUCUGAGUCACAAUGCAAAUGUGUAACCAUACUCACCUCCAAAAGUCCCAAGUUUGGACCCCGACGAUGGGUGGCUUCUUGUUAAACUCACGUCAUGAGAAGCCGUGGAUCGAUUUCAAGAAAACCUUGCUGACGUUGAAGAAAUGAGAACGUGCUGGGAGCAUUGAAAACAGUGUGAACUCUAAAGGGCAGGCGUGUCUGAACACUUCCAACGCCGCCCACGGCUGGCAGAAUGGACUCUCACCGGGACGUUCCCCUCCACACAGACUGUUUUCUCUAGAGAAGAGCCUCAAAGCCUAUGUCGGGAGUCAUGGCUGCACCCCCCAGGUGAUCCUCGGUUCCUGUGGGGUUUGUAAGUGUCCUGGUAUGAGUCAGGGUAAUCUUCUUCCACGAGAGGGUAGUGAUCUCGGCUCUGCUGGGAGCUGGAAGACAAGCGGUUCCGACUCUUGCGGGCCCUCUCAUUGUGGUAAUUUUCAUCCGAGGUCAUUAGGCUUCGUCUUUCAAUUGGAGAAUUCUCUGUAGAAUGGUUGCUGUGUCUCAUUCGCUGACUCUAAGAAUAUCAGACAGUUCGCUGGUUAGAUAAGGUCAGCUUCAUUCAGCUAAACAUGCUAACGCAUAUGCAGUAACAGCUAAACAUGCUAACACAUGUGCAGUAUCAGGGUCUACACAACGAGCUGCUGUCUGACCUAAUGAAGCAUUUUGAUUC
ensembl:processed_transcript A430018G15Rik RIKEN cDNA A430018G15 gene